CAGCUGAAUUUCUCGCUGUAUUCGUUUUCUCUCUUCUUUCUCUACCUUCUGAAUAUAUCUAUCUCAUUUUAUUGCAUUUCAGUUAAAAAGAACAAAUCAACAAAGGUAAACAAUAUGGCCGGUGUACGAGAUACGCUAAUGUCGGUACAAGGAGAUGGCACUGUCUAAUAAAUCAAUAUUUCAGCUAUGCACAUCGUAAUACUAUAUAGAUAUGUUAUUUAAAUUCACAGAUUGAUUAAUUUCUCCAUCAAAAUCAAACUCUCCGCGCUAUAAUGUCGUCGGAGAAGGUCCUUUAUCGACUAGACCAACCUCAUGGCACUGGCAAUGUGUUUAUAUCUUGGCGUCCUGGAAAUAGCACACAUUUAGCCACAACAGGUUGUGAUUGUACAGUUGCCAUUUUUGAUAGACAAGGAGAUAUUCAAGAACGAAUACAAAUUUCUGGAUUAUGCACUGGCUUUGGCUGGGAUUCGGAUGGAGAUCUGUUGGCAAUAAUAUCUCAGAAUUCAUCAGUUAUAAUUCUGUGGGAUGCCACAACCGGGAAAAAAUCUCAGAUAGAUGCUGGUGUAAGAGAUGGGUUGACCUGUAUGAUGUGGGCAAAGAAGAGUUGUUUGCUAGCAGUAGGAACACAGAAAGGAAAUCUGGUGCUUUAUGAUCAUAUAAAUGCCAAACGGAUACCUAUCUUGGGAAAACAUAAAAAACGUAUCUUAUGUGGAGCAUGGUCGAUAGAUGGUCUUCUUGCCUUGGCAAGUGAGGAUAAAGUUUUAACCAUCAGCACGAGCGAAGGAGAUACCCGCCGAGAGAUAGCUCUUCAAGGUGAUCCGUCUCAUAUACAAUUCAGUGAAAUGAAAAUGGAUCACAGGAUAGGUGGAGAAAAUACGGUAUCCCUUAUUGUCAGUAAAACGACAUUGUUUUUGUACAACAUUUUGGAUCCAGAAAAUCCUAUUGAAUUGGCCUUUCAGAAACGAUAUGGAUCAAUUGUAACUUACAAGUGGUAUGGUGAUGGUUAUAUAUUGGUAGGAUUUGAAGCUGGAUUCUUUAUAGCAAUAUCAACACAUAUAAAGGAAGUUGGCCAAGAAUUGUUUCAAAUUAAGAAUCAUAGAGAUUCUUUGACAGAUAUUGCAUUGAGUCAAAUAGCUGGAAAAGUAGCUACUUGUGGUGACAAUACAUUGAAAGUACACAGUUUGCAGAAUCUCGAGGAAACGGACACAUUGAUCUCAGUGGCCGGCGAAAGUGGAAUUAGCAAUAUUGAAUGGUCGACAGAUGGAACGAUGUUGGCAGUUGUGACUUACAUUGGCAAUAUUUUGAUAUAUUUGAUAGAAAUACCAAAAUUAACUAGUGUCUGUGGUAAUAGAAUAGCAUUAUUAACGAGCCUGAUGGAAGUGGCUGUACACCUUUAUGUAUUAGACAAGGACAAACCAAGUCCGCAAAUAAUUAAUACUAUAAUAGAACCGGCGAUAUUGGCAGUGGGUCCAAUACAUUUAGCAGUAGGAUUAAACAAUAGAGCUCUCUUUUGGGAUUUGUCUAUAAGUCAUUAUGACAAGAUACAUUUCGAGAGAGAUUAUUUGGCGACAAUAGAUAGUAUGCGUUUAAACGAGAUUUAUGUAUCCACGUUAUUCGACGGAAAACUGCAGUUGCAUUCGAUUAAAACUGAUGAAGCGUUAAUAAAUAGUGGGAAAGAUACAAAAAUGUUUCCAGAUUCGAAUUCUCACAGUAGAAUAACGUGUCAUGCUCUCUGUUCAGAUUUUUUAGUUUAUGGUAAUGAUAUGGGUCAUAUCAUAUACUUUUAUUUGGAAACAUUUAAUCAAUGUACUGAAUUUAUACAUAACAAUGGAAUAAAGGAAUUAUAUUUAGAUGCAAAUGGAACACAAUUGUGUUUUGUUGACAAUAAGUUGGAUGCUUAUGUGUUUGAUCCGAUAAAUGAAGUGGCCAUUGCAGUGCCUGAUUGUCCUGAUAAUAUUGACAGUAUUCUUUGGGAUCAGAAUAUAUUCGAACGUGCUAUAUUUGCAAUAUACAACAAAAAUAUUAUUGUAACAUACAUUUUUGUAAAAUACUUUGUUGAAGGUACUAAAGUAAUAAAAAUAAAUACAACAAAGUUGCCAUCAGACUCAGUGCCUUUAUUGAUGUAUUCGGGAGAAGUUACAUUAAGUACCAUAGGUAGCAAGUUAAUACAAAUAACAUUAGCCUCCCAUGAAGAUGUGGGGAAUAUUGUAGAGUCAAAAAAAAUUAAUGAAAUUUUAAAUAAUCAGAUUCUUUGCAGAAGAUUUCAACAGGCAUGGAAUAGUUGUGAGAAGUUAAAUGAAAAAGAUGCAUGGUUAAAAUUGGGACAAAGCACGAUUGCAAAUUUAAAUGUCCAAUUUGCUAUUCGCGUAUAUCGACAAAUAGAAGAUGUUUCAAUGGUGUGGGCAUUACAAAAUAUGGAGUAUAUAGACGAAUUAGCAUUGUUAUGUGGCCAUGCCUGUAUAUUACUAGGAAAUUAUAACGAAGCCGAAAAGUAUUUUCUACAAUCUUCCGAACCCGUGCAAGCUUUAUAUCUAAGAAGAGAUUUAAUGCAAUGGGAACAAGCGUUAAGUCUAGCGCAAAAAUUAAAACCCGACGAAAUUCCUUUUAUCGCUAAAGAAUACGCCCAACAGUUGGAGUUCACAGGAAAUUAUCCAAAAGCUUUAACAAAUUACGAACGCGGUCUAGUCGAUUACAAUAGUUCAUCUAUUUUGGCUGCACAAAAUCCUCUUCAUCGAAGUCAAUGUUCGGCGGGAAUAGCGAGAAUGUCAAUAAGAUGCGGCGAUAGUAGGAAAGGCGUCGCAAUAGCUAUGGAUAAUGAAAGUUCAAGAUUACUAAGGAAGGAAUGUGCAGAGAUUUUAGAAUCAAUGAAGCAAUUUAGCGAAGCUGCACAAUUAUACGAAAAAGCUGAAUAUUUUGACAAAGCUGCCUCUGCAUAUAUAAAGUUGAAAAGUUGGCAUAAAGUGGGACAACUUCUGCCUCAAAUAUCAUCGGCAAAAAUUAACAUACAAUAUGCUAAAGCCAAAGAAUCGGAAGGCAAAUAUGAGGAAGCUGCCAAAGCAUAUGAAACUGCCAAGGAUUAUGAUAAUAUAAUCAGAAUUAAUUUGGAACAUUUAAAUAAUCCUGCUCGUAGUGUUGAAAUUGUUCAAGAAACUAAAAGUAUAGAAGGUGCAAAAAUGGUUGCAAGAUAUUUUCAAAAGAUGAACGAUUAUAAUUCAGCUAUUAAAUUCCUAAUUUUAUCAAAUUGUCACGACGAAGCCUUUCAAUUAGCUAAUCAACAUGGUAAAAUGGAAUUGUAUGGAGAGAUUUUGGUGAACACAAUUGAUGACACAAAUGUUCGUAAAGAAGAUUUUAGAAGUCUUGCUAUGCAUUUUGAGUCACAAAAAAACAAUCUUUUAGCUGGAAAAUAUUAUUUCCAUGCUAAAGAGUAUCAGAAAGCUUUGCGACAUUUAUUAAAAGCUGCACAGUUGGUUCAGGAUGAUGACAGAGCAAUCACUUAUGCCAUAGACACUGUCGCAUCCUCUAAGGAUGAUAAAUUAGCUAAUCAAUUAAUAGAUUUCUUACUAGGUAGCGAUGGAUUACCAAAGGAUCCAAAAUAUUUGUUUCGAUUAUAUAUGGCUAGAAAACAAUAUAAAGAAGCAGCUAAGACAGCGAUUAUAAUUGCAAACGAGGAGCAAAUUAAUGGCAACUACAGAAACGCUCACGAUGUUCUAUUUGGAAUGUACCAAGAAUUAAAGAGAAAUAAAAUUACAAUACCUUUAGAGAUGCAGUCUAAUUUAAGACUCUUGCAUUCUUAUAUUCUAGUGAGAUUGCAUGUAAAAAGAAGCGAUCAUUUACGAGGUGCUCGGAUGUUGAUCAGGGUAGCUAAUAAUAUAUCGAAAUUUCCCUCACAUAUCGUACCGAUAUUAACUUCGACUGUAAUAGAAUGCCAUAGAGCGGGCUUGAAAAACGCAGCUUUUAACUUUGCUGCCAUGUUGAUGCGUCCCGAAUAUCGGGGACAGAUAGAUGCAAAGUACAGUAAAAAAAUAGAAGCAAUUGUGAGGAAAGCACCGAGAAUGAAAGAUAUCGAGAAUGAGGAUGAACCUCUUACACCGUGUCCAUACUGCAAGAGUAGAGUUCCCGAGACUGAAGUAACCUGUGAUAAAUGUAAAAACACCAUACCUUUUUGUAUCGCAACGGGGCGACAUAUUGUGGAGGAUGAUUUUACAGUAUGCCCACAGUGUGAUUUCCCAGCCAUUAGAAGUGAAUUUUUGAGAAUUAUCGAAUCUGAAGAGACUUGUCCAAUGUGCUCCGAGAGAGUUAAUCCUGAAAUUAUAUCGUCCGUCUCUGAUAUCCAUCCAUAUCUCGACUAUCAAGAGGAGAGGAAGGCAUAAUUUUUACAUAUUUAAAUAUAGAGUACAUUUUUUAAUGUAUGAAAGAAAAUUUAUAGUUUACACAAACUAGGGAACAAAUAUUAUUUUAUAGAUAUUUGCAUCUAUCUACUUAUUGCACAAUUCAAAGGUGCCUUGUUAUUCUCAUAUGCCUUCUAUAAAUAUAAUAUAAUCACGAGUGCAAUUUGCACAUAAUAGAGAUAGUAAAUAGUAAAUAGUAAAUAUUCUGAUUAAGUUGGAAACUAUAAAAUCAGUAUUCUCGCUGUAACAGUGCCGUCCAUUACAAGUACAAUUUAUUUAAGUAUAAGUAGAUUAUAUAUUAGCAAACAAGUGUAUUAUAUAAGAGAACCGAUAUUAGCAAACAAGUGUAUUAUAAAGAGAAAAGAGUGUUAUUUGCUAUGCAAGCUGCAUUUUAAUAGAAUAAUUGCCAUAAAAACACAAAAUAAAAUGAUUGACUCGAAUAUUGCACAUUCAACAAGUAUGUGCACAUCAUACAACUAUAUCGAUAUUGGUAUAAUAAUUUUUCUGCGGGAAAUCUUGGAGAUUACGUUGGCAUAUAAAAAGCCAUACAUUUCGUAAGUUUUACAUUGCGUAAGACGAAAAAAAAGAAAGCGAGGACGAGCCAUCGUAAUCAUCACAUAUUCAAUCUUGUGAUUACAAUAAUUAACCUAACCUAUAGUGAGAAAUUCUCGCAUUGCGGAGUACAUUGCGGGGACACGUGACUUUGCGUAGCAUGACUUUGAAGAAUCGACGAUCGUACGAUGACUUGUUUUUCUUGUAAAUUCCGUCAGAUAUCUCGUAAUAAAAUAUACGUGACAAAUUCUUGCGAUAGAUCAUAUAAGAAUAAAACGUAGGAACCCAAUUCUUUCAUUUUAUUUUUAAAGUUUUUUA